AUUGAACGCAGGCGGCAGGCCUAACACAUGCAAGUCGGACGGUAGCACAGAGGAGCUUGCUCCUUGGGUGACGAGUGGCGGACGGGUGAGUAAUGUCUGGGGAUCUGCCCGAUAGAGGGGGAUAACCACUGGAAACGGUGGCUAAUACUGCAUAACGUCGCAAGACCAAAGAGGGGGACCUUCGGGCCUCUCACUAUCGGAUGAACCCAGCUGGGAUUAGCUAGUAGGCGGGGUAAUGGCCCACCUAGGCGACGAUCCCUAGCUGGUCUGAGAGGAUGACCAGCCACACUGGAACUGAGACACGGUCCAGACUCCUACGGGAGGCAGCAGUGGGGAAUAUUGCACAAUGGGCGCAAGCCUGAUGCAGCCAUGCCGCGUGUAUGAAGAAGGCCUUCGGGUUGUAAAGUACUUUCAGCGGGGAGGAAGGCGGUGAGGUUAAUAACCUCGCCGAUUGACGUUACCCGCAGAAGAAGCACCGGCUAACUCCGUGCCAGCCGCCGCUGUAA
rnacentral:rRNA from 1 species